rnacentral:rRNA from 1 species
AAAACAUAGCCUCAUGAUAUUACAUUUGAGGUGAUGCCUGCCCAGUGAGGUAUAUCUUAUCCUUUAACGGCCGCAGUACUUUGACUGUGCUAAGGUAGCAAAAUCAAUUGGUCUUUAAUUGGGGUCGGGUAUGAACGGCGCUAUGGAAUGAAUCUGUCUCCCUUACAUACUUAUAACUUACUUAAUAGGUGCAAAUUCCUAUAUACCCACAUAAGACGAGAAGACCCUUAGAGUUUUUAUAAUUAAUACAUUUGAUUGUUAUUAUUAUUUUUGUUGGGGCGACAAUGGAAAUUAUAACAUCCACUAUAUAAACAAGACUUUCUCUAUUUAAAGUAGAAUAUAACUACCUGAGGGAUAACAGCAUAAUUUAUUAUUUUAAGAUUGUGACCUCGAUGUUGGACUAGGGACUAAUUAUGACAGCCUCAUAACUAGAUGAUUCUGUUCGAAUUUUUUAUACCUACGUGAUCU